rnacentral:rRNA from 1 species
UACGAAGGGGGCUAGCGUUGUUCGGAAUUACUGGGCGUAAAGCGCGCGUAGGCGGACUUUUAAGUCAGGGGUGAAAUCCCGAGGCUCAACCUCGGUACAGCCUUUGAUACUGGAGGUCUCGAGUCCUAGAGAGGUGAGUGGAAUUCCGAGUGUAGAGGUGAAAUUCGUAGAUAUUAGGAAGAACACCAGUGGCGAAGGCGAUUCUCUGGACUGUAACUGACGCUGAGGCUCGAAAGCGUGGGGAGCAAACAGGAUUAGAUACCCCUGUAGUCCCUGA